rnacentral:rRNA from 1 species
UACGAAGGGGGCUAGCGUUGCUCGGAAUCACUGGGCGUAAAGGGUGCGUAGGCGGGUCUUUUAAGUCAGGGGUGAAAUCCUGGAGCUCAACUCCAGAACUGCCUUUGAUACUGAAGAUCUUGAGUUCGGGAGAGGUGAGUGGAACUGCGAGUGUAGAGGUGAAAUUCGUAGAUAUUCGCAAGAACACCAGUGGCGAAGGCGGCUCACUGGUCCAUUACUGACGCUGAGGUGCGAAAGCGAUGGGGAG